rnacentral:rRNA from 1 species
UACGAAGGGGGCUAGCGUUGCUCGGAAUCACUGGGCGUAAAGCGCACGUAGGCGGCUUUCUAAGUCAGGGGUGAAAUCCUGGAGCUCAACUCCAGAACUGCCUUUGAUACUGGAGAGCUUGAGUCCGGGAGAGGUGAGUGGAAUUCCAGGUGUAGCGGUGAAAUGCGUAGAUAUCUGGAGGAACACCGGUGGCGAAGGCGGCAUCCUGGACCGGUAUUGACGCUGAGGCGCGAAAGCUAGGGGAGCAAACGGG